UACGAAGGGGGCUAGCGUUGAUCGGAAUGACUGGGCGUAAAGGGCGCGUAGGCGGUUUGUACAGUCAGGUGUGAAAUUCCCGGGCUCAACCUGGGGGCUGCACUUGAUACGUAUGGACUGGAGUGGGGAAGAGGGUCGUGGAAUUCCCAGUGUAGAGGUGAAAUUCGUAGAUAUUGGGAAGAACACCGGUGGCGAAGGCGGCUAGCUGGACCGACAUUGACGCUGAGGCGCGAAAGCGUGGGGAGCAAACAGG
rnacentral:rRNA from 1 species